rnacentral:rRNA from 1 species
AUUGAACGCUGGCGGCAUGCCUAACACAUGCAAGUCGAACGGGGGUCGCGAGACCCCAGUGGCGGACGGGUGAGGAAUGCGUAGGAAUCGGCCCACGAGUGGGGGACAACCUGGGGAAACUCAGGCUAAUACCGCAUGAGCUCGGGAGAGGAAAGCGGGGGAUCUUCGGACCUCGCGCUGGUGGACGAGCCUACGUCCGAUUAGCUGGUUGGUGGGGUAAGGGCCUACCAAGGCGACGAUCGGUAGCGGGUCUGAGAGGACGACCCGCCACACUGGGACUGAGACACGGCCCAGACUCCUACGGGAGGCAGCAGUGGGGAAUAUUGGACAAUGGGCGCAAGCCUGAUCCAGCAAUGCCGCGUGGGUGAAGACGGCCUGCGGGUUGUAAAGCCCUUUAGGCGGGGAGGAACGACGGAGCGUUAAUACCGUUUCGAAGUGACGUUACCCGCGGAAUAAGCACCGGCUAACUACGUGCCAGCCGCCGCCGUAA